rnacentral:lncRNA from 1 species
GUUCUCCAAUUCAGAUCUCCCAUAGCUUAAAAAUAGGUAUGUGGUUCACUGUGAGUGGUUAUGGCUGAAAGGAAGACUCAGUGUGCAUCAUUAAAUAUGGAAUUGGAUGUAUAGUCAGAAAUAAGAUAGGCCUUAUUAGAGUUUAUCAAGUUGGUCGAGGAGUCCAAAAAUCUAACCAUUAUAGGAGCAUCAAUAUUAUAAUCUACCAGUCGUAAAGGUUGUCUGCAUUUUCGAUGUGGUCGAGAGUUAGGAGCAUGGAGGGAUGGAGGCUAGUUGAGGGAGGGGCAAUGGGCUCAGCCUUAGAUUGGGUCGAGUUCAGAUUUAUUCGACCCACUGCUGGAGCAAGUUGGGCAAGAUUAGAUGGAGCUAUGGUGGGCUGAGCCAAUGUUGAGUUAGACUGAAAAGAACCCAACUGUGAUAAGCUGGAUGGGCCAGCUUGUAUCGAAGCUAGAUUGGGCCGAAGAAGGCCCAUCUCAAGUAAAUGGGAUGAGUCUGUUGAAACCGAGACUGCAUUGGGCCUAGUGAGGCUCAAUUCUGUUGGGACCAUAUCUUGGCUCAAAAGAAGAUCAUCAAAAUUUGGUUGGAAAAGCU